ACGGAAGGCAGCAGUCGGGAAUAUUGCGCAAUGGAGGAAACUCUGACGCAGUGACGCCGCGUAUAGGACGAAGGUCUUCGGAUUGUAAACUAUUGUCGUUAGGGAAGAGAAAGGACAGUACCUAAGGAGGAAGCUCCGGCUAACUACGUGCCAGCAGCCGCGGUAAUACGUAGGGAGCGAGCGUUAUCCGGAUUUAUUGGGUGUAAAGGGUGCGUAGACGGGUUAUUAAGUUAGUUGUGAAAUCCCUCGGCUCAACUGAGGAACCGCAACUAAAACUGGUAAUCUUGAGUGUUGGAGAGGAAAGCGGAAUUCCUAGUUUAGCGGUGAAAUGCGUAGAUAUUAGGAGGAACCCCAGUGGCGAAGUCGGCUUUCUGGACAAUAACUGACGUUGAGGCACGAACGUGUGGUGCGCAAACAGGAUUAGAUACCCUGGUA
rnacentral:rRNA from 1 species